CGAGCAAUCGAACCAAAUAACCCAAUCGAGCAAAUGCGAACUGCGGCAAUCUGAGGCGCAAAUGGAGGUGCAAAUGGAGGCGAAGGAAGGAGAAAGGAGAAAGAGGUGAAACAAAAGAGGGGAAACAAAGAGGAGAAAAGGAGAAAGGAGAAACGGAGAGCGAACGGAGAGGUGAGCGAACAGAGAGCGUCACAUCCAAGGAUCCUCGCCCAGCUAGAAUGGCAGCAGCGAGAAUGGCGAGGCUGCGGAGGAAUCAGAUGGUCUGAGAGGCGUCUGGCUCGUCGAGGAAUAGUUCCUCAGGCACAAGGAAAGCACUAUGGAGGCAAUCGACCACGAUGCCGAGCAUGAGAGCGGAGACGAAGGUGGAGCUGACGCUAGUGAUGAACACGACGAAGACGAGUAUUUUGCUGGAGAGAAAGAAAGUGUUUUGCAAGUAAGUUCAUGUUUUGCAAAAGGUGCAAUGGUGCUUAUCAUUGUUCGGUCUGCAACCUCCUCAUAAGGUAGA